GCUUCUUGUUUUGAUCUGCACAUGAAUAGCCUCCUUGACUAGCUGUUAUUUCUCAACACUGACUUUUCUUGUACUGCACGACCUGCUUGCGUAUUAAUCUCUUAAAUGAGCCAUGCUGCAGAGUUGGAUGAACACGUGCUUUCCUAGAUGUAGUUUUCUAAUUAAAACUGUCCCAUUAGGCUGUAAUUGGCGCUAUCUGCGGCCAGGACAGGAUUGCAUGGGAGGGGAGCGAGAAGUCAGACUGAGAUGGUAUCGAGCCGAGGAGACAGGAAGCCUCUGUGUAAUCUCGUCAGGUUUGAGAUCGAGGCUGCGAUGAAGCCGGCUGGACUGAACCGUAGCUUCAGAUACAUAAUGACCCCAGACUAUGUGACGACAGGCAUUGUAUCCGACUGGGCCGACCACAGAGAAAUUAAAGAUGAGGGUCUGAUUCAGAGGCAGCUGCAGGUCUUUUUCUGCCGUACAGUGUCCAGCGGUGUUUAAGAUUUAGGAGGUGCAGCAGUUUCACGUGACGGAGUUUCAAUGUUGAAUGCGUUCAAGGUUUGAAUAUAUUUUCUGAAAAGAAAUGUCCCUCCAUCAGACUUUACAGCGAACAAUGCGGUCACACUACACCUGACAGAUGGCUGAGCUUCAGGCAGCGGUGCAGCGGUGUAAUUGGAAGACGAGGCGCUCCGUUCCUGGCUAGUAAUAUCAGUGAGGUACGGGUCAGACUGGUUUAUAUCAGACCGCUGGCGAUGAAGAACCAAAUCAGACCACCUCGGCCUGAGGGUCAGUGUGUGUGCAUCAGUAGUCACCCUACAUUUAUGCCUAUAUAUGUGAAGCACGUUUGUAAGAUCAGGAGUUUUCCUGCUGUCACUGUCGGUGAUAUCUGUGAGGUAAGGGACUGUGUGUAAAUUCUAGGAUUUGCACUGAAAAUGUAAUGGAGAUAAAUGAAGGACCCUAUGACAAUUUUUUGUAUCAACCCAAGGUCCAUUUUGCCAAAUAAGAACAAGUGUGUCUCUGAAUUGGAGAUUUAUUGUCCUGAUCAAAAUCAAAUAAAAGCCAAAUAUACGUUGAUCUUCAUUAUCAGUGAUUGAACACUACCUUGACUUUUUUUUUUUGCAUCUUGUGUAAGUGUAGCAAGUAUUCUAGUUUUAAAAAAUGUACUAAGA